rfam:Asian citrus Psyllid, Diaphorina citri - Florida Strain, whole genome shotgun sequence.
GUUUAGUUAGCUUGGAAGGUAACGCACCUGCUUUGUAAGCACUAGGCCGCGGGUUCGAUUCCCGCCCAGGGCA